AAAGCGAGCGGCGGAUGGGUGAGUAACACGUGGGGAACCUGCCCCUAAGUCUGGGAUACCAUUUGGAAACAGGUGCUAAUACCGGAUAAUAAAGCAGAUCGCAUGAUCAGCUUUUGAAAGGCGGCGUAAGCUGUCGCUAAGGGAUGGCCCCGCGGUGCAUUAGCUAGUUGGUAAGGUAACGGCUUACCAAGGCGACGAUGCAUAGCCGAGUUGAGAGACUGAUCGGCCACAUUGGGACUGAGACACGGCCCAAACUCCUACGGGAGGCAGCAGUAGGGAAUCUUCCACAAUGGACGCAAGUCUGAUGGAGCAACGCCGCGUGAGUGAAGAAGGUUUUCGGAUCGUAAAGCUCUGUUGUUGGUGAAGAAGGAUAGAGGUAGUAACUGGCCUUUAUUUGACGGUAAUCAACCAGAAAGUCACGGCUAACUACGUGCCAGCAGCCGCGGUAAUACGUAGGUGGCAAGCGUUGUCCGGAUUUAUUGGGCGUAAAGCGAGCGCAGGCGGAAAAAUAAGUCUAAUGUGAAAGCCCUCGGCUUAACCGAGGAACUGCAUCGGAAACUGUUUUUCUUGAGUGCAGAAGAGGAGAGUGGAACUCCAUGUGUAGCGGUGGAAUGCGUAGAUAUAUGGAAGAACACCAGUGGCGAAGGCGGCUCUCUGGUCUGCAACUGACGCUGAGGCUCGAAAGCAUGGGUAGCGAACAGGAUUAGAUACCCUGGUAGUCCAUGCCGUAAACGAUGAGUGCUAAGUGUUGGGAGGUUUCCGCCUCUCAGUGCUGCAGCUAACGCAUUA
rnacentral:rRNA from 1 species